CGAAACUACUAUCUGAUGGAUUAUUUACGCCCAGCCACUGCACAAAAAAAUCCACCAAUGUCGACUGAUGCGUCCCCAAAAAACAAGUUAUUGAAACUACUAUCUGAUGGAUUAUUUACGCCGAGCCACUGCACAAAAAAAUCCACCAAUUUCGACUGAUGCGCCCCAAAAAACAAGUUAGCGCAACUACUAUCUCCUCGAAGCCGAGUCGGUCGGUUUCACUCAAGUGCUUAGUGUCUCUCUAGUGUCUAUGCUGAUCGAUACUUGUGCAGUGAUACCACCCAAUCUCUCGGCGACUUUGGGCGCUCGUUGAGAGUCGCGAUGAAACUGCAUCUUUGGACGUUUAUGUUUAUUGUGAUUUUCGGUGCUGUUCAAGGAACGCCCGAGCGAAAACGCUCUGGGCGAUGGCGUAACUUGAGUAACAUGUUUUAUGGCCGCGGCCGCGGUCGCGGUCUCUCAGGGGAGUCCCGCGGCUCCACCGGUGCCUCAUCGAGCGGACAGGGUAGAAGUCGUGGCACUUCACCUACAGAACUCCCACCCAGGUCGCCUACAUCUCAGCAAUGGCCCCAACCUCAGCUACGACCCCCAUCUCAGCUACCUCAGCAAUGGUCCUUCCCUCAACAACAGCCCCAAACUCAGCAACGACCCCCAUUUCAGCAACGGCCCCCAUCUCACCAACGGCCCCCACGGCCCCCACGGGCCUCACAGCCAACCCAGGCAGCACAGCCCAUUCCGAUAUUACUUCCAAACUACUCCUACCCGGCCAUUAGCGUGACCAUCAAUGCGCGUUCAGAAGCGGUUGCUCCGAAAAUCAGGGGAUACAUCCAGAAGUUUUACAGGCAACCGGGUGAAAUGACGCCAGAUGAACUCAGCCGGAAGAAAGAGUCUCUACUUCAAAAAGUGCGCUCUGACACUUGUCCUAAUCACGUCUCAAUCUCGGAUGAUAAUUGCCAGGCAGCUCUUGAUGAAUUCCAGUCAAUCCCCAGAGAUUUGCGCGGCACAUGUAGAUCUGCAUUUGUGGCCAUGUGUCAAUGGUGGCCUAUACGUUCCGGUGUUCAAAUCCACAAAUGCUCCAUUUUCGUACACGACAAUCCCACUGUUACCUCAUCUAUUCUCGGACUUGCUUUCUUAUUGAAACAUUGUGUUGAUGGAUUAAGACCAGAGGAUUACAGGCAGACUCUUGAGCGAGAAGCGGACGGUUACAUGCUUGGUCCACCAGCAUGAUACAUAUAGAAUGGACUUUAACUCAUCUCCAUAAGAAGACAAAUUACGUGAUGCAGGCCAUCUGAUGAUAUGGACGUAUUUCUGAUAAAUGGAACUAGAGAUGGGUGGCGAGAUGGGCUAUGCUCAUAAAAGCUGUGUAAAAAAGUGGGAAUCGACAUUCAAUCAAAAGGAACUAAGCGUCAAAAUAUGCUACUCGUACGUAUACUCUGCCGGCUGCCCGGCCCUUCCAGCUAGAACUCGGCUUUCGACUCCCGCUCCUGGUAUGUGUAGGAUACCUGGUAUGGAGCUAUGGCGCGAAAUCUGAAACGGACCACUAGACAAGGUACGAAUUUCAUCAAUCUGAUACAUGUUUCUUAACCACAAUUUCACGGAGAACACGAUUCGCGCAACGAAAAUUACUGAAACCAACCCCUAACGAAGAUAUUAACCUUUUUUAUUUCACAUUGGCUACGCGGAUUUUGAGCUGCCCGCUCAUAAGAAACUCAAAGCUCUACGUGAGUCAAAUCGCGCACUACAACGGUUUCAGCAAGCCUCUCAAUCGAGCAAUGUUCAUUUCCCUCCAUGUGUUGUUCAAACUAUAAGCAAUUUGCUACAGUUAAGCCAAAGCGUCAAGAUUGAGGUUGCCAGAUUUUUAUAUCGCAAGAGACUGUCAUGAUAACGUUUAGCGCACGAUGUGAACCACGUAGAGCAUUGAGUUUUCAUGAGCGGGUGGUUUGAAUUCACACAUCAAGAAUCAUUAAAUAUCUUCGUAAGGAGUUGAUUUCGGAAAUUUCCGUUGUGCGUCCUGUGUUCUACGUGAAAUUUUGGUUAAGAAACAUGUAUCAGAAUGCUGAAAUUCGUGCCUUGUUUAGUGGUCCAUUCAACAACUUUGCAGUUUUGGCCGAGAACAAAUAGAUCGUAUUCAAUGCAUCAAACAGACGCGAUUGUAUCGAUGCCGAUUAGUUGAAUACGUAAACAUAGCCUCAAAAGGCCAAUUUAGAAAUCUAAUGUAACGGGUCUUUUGUGGUCGAAUUGUUAUUCUUUCGAGUAUCAAAUGGCAAUGAAAAGUGAAAUUGUCAGGAAUUUUUUCAUUUUCAGCUUUUCUAAAUUAAAUCCUAAAUUUGUUUGUUUGUUUUUUUUUUUUGAGGCUAUGUUUUAUAGUGUUUGAACCAAACGAUACAUCGAACCACUAUCGAAUACGAUCUAUACGACCGUCUGUUGUUGAUGAAAAUGAAAAAAUUCAGUGCAAGCAAAUUAUUUGAGAAUGAAAAUGCAUUUGCCUUUAAUGAGGAGGCUGUUAGUUCAUUUUUAUCAAUAGUGGACUGUAAUAUUUGUCUUUGGCCAAGAAUGCAAAGUUGUUGACAUUCAAAUUUCGCGACACAGCUCCAGGGGCCGGAGCCGAGAACCGAGUUCUGGCCGAAACAGUCCGGAGGAGCAUACCUACGUUUCACUUACCUUGAUGCUAGCUCAUGAGCCGUGGACAUUGGACAAGAGUGUUGUGGACAGAGCUCAUGAAAUGGAGAGCCCGAUCCUGUUGAUCUCCUCGUCUCCGUCGACGUUUCUGGUGCGCUAUAAUUCCCAUUCCCUCUUACGAUGCCGUGCUAAGGAAAAACGUCGCAUGGACCAUUAGACGUUGCCAAGUGCCCUUUGAUGUAUAAAAAAUAAAUUCCCUCGUAAACUUACGAAUAUUUUCCUUUCGACUUUUCAGAUAAUUUUGAUCGCAAUUUCACCUAAAGUGUUUGCAAAUAGGAAAAACAUUUUAUCGAAGGAAAUUUGGCAACUCUCGAAUGUCCAUACGGCGUUCAUCCUCAUGCCGCAAUCACACGCUGAAUUUAGCAGCUCAAUGUGGAAGUCAACAAUCAUCGCCCAACGGCUGAAAUUUAGCAAAUUCGAGUUAUUUUCAUCCAGAUGUGUAUCAAAUCCACUCGAAUAGUUCAGACAAAUUCAACAUUAGUCCGAUGGUUGCUGAGAAUCGUUGCUGAAUUUUGCGCGUCACGCGCAAAAUUCAGGCAUCGGGCCGAUGACUUCCACAUUCAAGCCACAUUCAGCGUGUGAUUGCGGCAUUAGCACAGCAGUACGGCACUCACCUGACAAACAGACUCCAUCAUUCCCACCCGUCUCUCGUUCCUUUAACCAUAAAUUCGUCUAUAUGGUGGGUGAAGUUUGAGAUUCAACUGAAAGUUGAAUUCAAGCUUUCACAAGCGCCUUGUCAACGUAUCUCCUUGAGCCAAUAUUUAACCCUUAGAUGACUAACCGUUUUUACCUACACGAAUGACUAACCCGGGCCUACGAGGCCCGCAUUGAGAAUACAUGGUUAUUCGAUAGCUGCGAUGCUUUUUCCUCUGUUUCUCGUAGAAUUGAAUGAUUUUCAUACUUCGUCCUCUAUAAGCAAGGUCCCAAAUUCAAACGUUUCAAAGUAUUUCAAAGUGUUUGCAAAGUGUUGGUCGAAACGUUUGCUUGCGUCCACCAUGUUAAGGCAAAAUUGUAAAUAUCCUCUUACACAAAUAAGAUCAUAUGAAGUUCAAUUUGCGCGUCUUAAGAUUGGUCACACUUUUGUCAGUCACAAUAAUAAUCAUAUCAUCUGCAGAGAAGACAAACCCAGCUGUAACUUCUGCAAUUUAUCACCUCUUACCCUCAAACACGUGAUUAGGUAUGGACUGUUCUACCCUCAGGGAUUUCCGAUCACAGAUUUACUCACUAACAGCCAAAAGAAAUACAAACCCACUAUCAUGCGAUGAACCCAAUGUCACAACAAAACUGCUGAAAUUCUUUGCCUCCCUUAAUUUAAAAAUCUAAAUUUGUGUAUACACACCCAUCUUCCAAAUUCUUUGUAAAGACGUUUCUAGCCUCGGAUGCUGAAUGUCUAUGAAUAAAAUAACUAACUAACUAACUAUUUUAUGAAACCGUGGCCUGAGUCGCAAUCAUUGCAUAUUUUUAAAAUCGGCUAAUAGCUCAACUUUGGUUUUCACAUUCAUGAUAGUAUAACCAUUUCCACCUCCCUCUCAUUGUUCCAAUCAUGUUUGAUCAAUUAAAAAACAUUUAUCCACUGUGACCUUUAAGCAAUUUUCAUUGUUCGUUCUUUCCUUGUUUGACUGUGAUUCCAUAUCAAUGGUUUACAAUUCCGUAUGUUUGCUCCUUCAUGAUUGCUCAACGCAAACAUUGUUAUUUCCAAUCAGCAUAUGAAGAGUGUGAGGACUAACUACAGCAUCUCAUAUCAUACAGAUAUAAUUACCUACCUCCUUAGCAUUUUGAAGGUGAAACUCCCGAUCUUCUUGGUUUGAUAUAUUGGUUUGUGACGUUGUAGACUUCUUGUCAUAAUGCAUUUUUUUUAAAAUGGAAAACCACCUAAUGCACGGAAAGAAAUUAAAUGUUGAUUUAGCAUUUAUUCUGUUAAAAAGAUGUCCGACAAGUUUCAAAUGCCGAUUUUACAUUUUAACAAAAGCUAGCGUAACUACG
rnacentral:lncRNA from 1 species